GGGUCAGCCUCCUAAAGUGUUUCAGAUAUAGAUAGAUAGUUCGGUAUGUAGACAGACAGACAGAUUAUCUCUAGGGAAAGUAAAUGGAGGAGCUCUAAUUGGCUUGACAGCAAGUAAUGAAUUAAAAUUAAAUGCCUACUGUGGAGAUGAUUUCCCAUACAAAAGACACAGGACUUGAAGUGUCCAGCUACCACACAAAAAAGAUGAUGAUACUUCAGGCCAAAAGCUCUAGAUCUUUGUUCUAAGCUGAGGAUUGCUGAGAGAUACAAUGCACAAGGAAGCUGCAGACAGAUGCGACCUACUUCCAGCGAUGACUCAGUUUAAUACUAUCUGUGACAGUGGCAGGGGUGAUGAUGGGGCCUACACUUGCGCAACUACUUCUUGCAAGUCGUUUCCCAUGAAAUAAGUCAUUUGGUGUACACAAGGACAAUUCAAAGCUGUCAUGGCAUAAAAUGCGACAGAAAUCUCCACUACAUGGGACAAAAACACAGUGGGUAUAUCCUGUGCAAGAUCAUAUUCCCAAUAAAUAUGGUUUAAUUGUGGUUUAUAUACAACAGAUUGGCUCUUUCCAGGAUCAGCCCAGCAUUGAUGAUCGAUCACCUUAGUAAAUUCGGGACUAAAGAUGGGAAGAGGUUCAAUGACAAAGGAAAAAAAAUACAGUCAAGCAUCAAGGAUAUAAAUGAAUGGGUCUGCUGGGGGCAUUCCUUCUGACUGUACACUUAUUAAAUAUG